UACAGAGGUGGCAAGCGUUGUUCGGAAUUACUGGGCGUAAAGCGUGCGUAGACGGUUAUUUAAGUCGGGUGUGAAAGCCCCGGGCUCAACCUGGGAAUUGCAUUCGAGACUGAAUAGCUAGGGUACGGUAGAGGGAAGUGGAAUUUCCGGUGUAGCGGUGAAAUGCGUAGAUAUCGGAAGGAACAUCAGUGGCGAAAGCGACUUCCUGGACCAGUACCGACGUUCAGGCACGAAAGCGUGGGGAGCAAACAGG
rnacentral:rRNA from 1 species